rnacentral:rRNA from 1 species
AAUCUUCACAAUGCGCGCAAGCGUGAUGAGGGAAUCCCAGGUGCCCUUGCACUGCAAGGGCUUUUGUGGAGUGUAAAAAGCUCUACGAAUAAGGGCUGGGCAAGACCAGUGCCAGCCUCCGCGGUAACACUGGCAGCUCGAGUGGUGGUCGUUUUAUUGGGCUCAAAGCAUCCGUAGCCGGUUUAGCAAGUCCCCUGUGAAAUCCUGCCGCUUAACGGUAGGGCUUGCGGAGGAUACUACUAGA